GCCUCGGUGGCGGAAUUGGUAUACGCGCACGACUCAAAAUCGUGUAUCGCAAGGUGUGAGGGUUCGACCCCCUCCCGAGGCA
rfam:Candidatus Kaiserbacteria bacterium RIFCSPLOWO2_12_FTLL_45_26 rifcsplowo2_12_scaffold_0, whole genome shotgun sequence.